UAGGGAAUCUUCCGCAAUGGGCGAAAGCCUGACGGAGCAACGCCGCGUGAGUGAUGAAGGUCUUCGGAUCGUAAAACUCUGUUAUUAGGGAAGAACAAAUGUGUAAGUAACUAUGCACGUCUUGACGGUACCUAAUCAGCAAGCCACGGCUAACUACGUGCCAGCAGCCGCGGUAAUACGUAGGUGGAAAUCGUUAUCCGGAAUUAUUGGGCGUAACGCGCGCGUAGGCGGUUUUUUAAGUCUGAUGUGAAAGCCCACGGCUCAACCGUGGAGGGUCAUUGGAAACUGGAAAACUUGAGUGCAGAAGAGGAAAGUGGAAUUCCAUGUGUAGCGGUGAAAUUCGCAGAGAUAUGGAGGAACACCAGUGGCGAAGGCGACUUUCUGGUCUGUAACUGACGCUGAUGUGCGAAAGCGUGGGGAUCAAACAGG
rnacentral:rRNA from 1 species